AUACUUACCUGGCAGGGGAGACACCAUGAUCAAGAAGGCGGUUCACCCAGGGCUUAGGCUCGUCCCCAUUGCACUCGCCGUGAAGCGAUGGACUCUCAUGAACUCCCCCAAAUGUGGGAAUCUCGACUGCAUAAGUUAUGGUAGUGGGGGACUGCGCUCAGCCUCCCCCCC